AUGUGGAGGGUCUCUGAUCCUUGUGCUACACCAAAUAUCAGUCCUGUGGCUUCAUGGAGCUAAACACAGCAACCCAACCCUUCCAACCUUCAAGCAUCCACAUCUAACAGUCACGGAACGUUGCCAUGACCUGCUAGGGAAAAGUACAGCAGUCCUACAGCUUGCCUCACAUCAUCACAGCCUUCAUCUCUCCAACCCUCCUCCUCACUCUCACUACAGAAAAACCUGAUUGAGAAACAUGCCACAGCUCAUCUUUUCCCAUCUCUGGGUUUACACCAUGGCCAUCUUCAGAUAUUUCAACUUGCCUCACUGACCUCAUUACAAAGAGGCUGUGACCUCUCAGAGGUGGACACCUGAGCAAGAAAUCAGCAAUGAGAGGACCUGUCCUAUUUCCAAGCCCCACAAACUAUCUGCCUCUGGGCUUUGACCCUCGUGGCCAACUCAGCAGUGAAAUGCUCCCCUCUGCUGGGACUAACCAUGGCUGGGACACAUGAGCAGGUUCACUGCAGGCCUGUGACAUCAGGGAGGAUACUGGAGGCAUGCUAAAUGAUAGCUCCUUUUUGAAGCAGAGAUGCCAGAGACCACCUCAAAGUGAAUCAGAGACAGAACUGGAUCAAGACCGUCUAGCUGGUUUUCCUCCACGUUUUGUAACUUGUUUAGUUUGCAUCGUCCACAUACAACCAUUACUUAUUUAUUAUAUAUAGACUGUCAAAUUUGGAGCCUUUGAGGAUAAAACAGGGUUUUGUUCUGCUGGCUGACCUACAUUCUUGUGAAUGAAGUUUCUCUUCCUUUCAAGUAUCUCAUGGUUGGAGGAAAAAUCCAUAAAGUGUGCUGUGUUCAGGGAAAUAAAUUUAACUGAUCCUCUAUUCCAAUAGAGCUUGUAAUUUUUUCCAAGGUUGUUUUUACAUAAGUGUUUUAUUAGU
rnacentral:lncRNA from 7 species